AGUAGUCGGUGGUGACGAACGGAAGUGUUUUUGCUUUUGGCAGUUUUUUUUUCUCGUUGAAAAUUUUGAGAUUCCGCUGAGGAUUCGACGGGUGUUACGCUUCGCAAGUGAAACUUUUAUCAUGGAAUAGCUGCUCAGAGGCUUAUUUUUAAGAUCGCGAGUGUGUGACCAGUGGAAUAUAGCGAAAAAAAAUGAAAGUCAAGACGAUAGCUGUGAAAAGAAAAUGAAGUGUUGUGUUGGUUAGAAAGAUAAAAUUCCUGCCGAAGAAUGUGAGGAUCGAAUAACAAUGAAUCGAAAUUGGUCACGGAAUAUGGAAAAAGUUGAAGAUCAAUCAAGGAAGAAAAGUUAUUGGCUCAGAAGAGAUCAGAAAUUGGAUCAUUGCCAGCGACACAAAGGGAAAGUCGCAAGGCACAAUAUUUAUAUUCUUGACAGUUUCAAACUGAAAAAAAAACAGCCUGCUGGGAUUUUCAAGUGAUGUAUUCCGGUUCAGUCGUUAAUUUCAAAAUUAAAACGGAAUAAAGUGCAGUAAAAAGCAAGCGAAACAUUGAAUUGAAAGCACGUGACAACGGCAUUGUGUAGAGAAUUUUGUGCACCGGAACGUUCUGGAGCAUGUGUUGUUAGUGCUUCAUUUGGAGUUUGACUGAUCGAUCAUGGCAUCCAUUUCAUUAUCGAUGAAUGGAACAUUCGAAUAUAUGAAUUUGGUGAGUUCGUUCUGAUUUAUAUUGUGUAGUUAUCUAUAUCACAAUCACGAUUGUUAUGUGGAUUUCUUUUGGAUUAUUUUCCAUAUUGUCAUUUUUUAUUAUACGUACCUACAUACUUGGGGAAGGGAUCAUUCUACUUUCUGUCUCGUUUCAGAGAGCGAGUAAUGGCGCUUAAGCAUAGGCUUUCGAGCCUGGACAUAAGGCUGAAAUUCAUUUGUCCCAUCCCAGGAAGAAGAGCAUCGACGGAGUGACAUUAACUUUCUUAGCAAAGUCACUUCCAACGUAUUUAUUGUACAUUUAAACUACAUACUGUACUGAGCGGUUGGUACGAGAUGUCCCCGUUCUGUAAUUUUAUUGUAUCAAUAACGCUGCACAGUAGGCCUGGCCACUUCAAUUCUUGUAUUACAUCUUUGAUGUGCUGCAAGCAUUGAUAAUGACAAGAAAAAUGAUAGAAGUAGUCGAUUCUAUCAUUUUCCAGGAUUCUUUCAAUGAAUGGCUGUGUUUGUGUAGACUAGACUAGACUAGACUAGACAAUGAAAAUUAUAUGUUAGACAGUUAACCUACAUUAUUCAAAGAAUACAAUCAAAGUGCAGCAGCAUAGCAAGCAAUAGCUCUGUGUAUACGAAUUUUCAAAACAAAAAGAGAGAUAGACGGCCAUUCCGAACUAUCCGCCGAGCAACUCGCUUUGUGUAUAAAAGUUGUUUCAAGUGAAUUAUAUUCAGCGGUCAAGCUAAUUCAAUUGGAAAUUGUAAGCAUCGUCGUCACUGUUCCGCGGUCGAGAAGAGGAACCCGUUGAUCUUGUCGUUGCAGCAUCCGGAUGAUAUUAUAACUGGGAAAGAAUUGUUGGCAGGAUCACUGCCUGGACCUGGACUAAUCUGCAGUGCCCGAUCAGACGAUAUAGCACUUCCGAUCCCACUUCCCCGAAACAGCAACAGCAUUCGAGGCUCAUUCCGGAUUGCCAUUACCAUAAGCUGGAAAGUGUCGAACUGGAACAAGGGGAACAAGCGCAAGUGGCGCAAGCAUACUGGAAAUUCCACCACAUCAACAUUAGUAUCCGAUGCUGCAGGAAUUGGACAAGUCCGCAACGUGAAUAUUCCAUUUUCUCUGUAUACAAUAAUAAAUUCCUCGUUUAUUUCUAUUUUGAAAUCAA